UUAUCCCCACAAUGCAGAUAAGAGCGAAUACGUAACGAACUCGCUCGUUUGUUGACUCUUGUUUUAUAUUGCGUUUAGGUAAUAUCAUCGCUGAAGCACUCAGUAUUACGUAAAUUUUAUACAUAUAUACGAUGCGUCGACAACUCCUGCGACAACUGCUCAAGAGGAAGAAGAGGAAGAAGCACCGCAGAAGAGGAGCUGCUCCAUCUGGUGCUGGAUACAGAAGAUCGUUAUGUUUGUUAUUUCACAACUUCUAAGUGGCAACUAAUUAUUUUGAAUAAACCACUGUGACGA